rnacentral:rRNA from 1 species
GACGAACGCUGGCGGCGUGCUUAACACAUGCAAGUCGAGCGGUAAGGCUCCUUCGGGAGUACACGAGCGGCGAACGGGUGAGUAACACGUGAGCAAUCUGCCCAUCUCUUUGGAAUAAGCGUUGGAAACGACGUCUAAUGCCGAAUACGACCUCCUUUCGCAUGAUCGGAGGUGGAAAGCUCCGGCGGAGAUGGAUGAGCUCGCGGCCUAUCAGCAGUUGGUGAGGUAACGGCCCACCAAGGCGACGACGGGUAGCCGGCCUGAGAGGGUGACCGGCCACACUGGGACUGAGACACGGCCCAGACUCCUACGGGAGGCAGCAGUGGGGAAUAUUGGACAAUGGGCGAAGACCUGAUCCAGCAACGCCGCCGUGAGGGA